rnacentral:rRNA from 1 species
UCGGGAAUUUUGGGCAAUGGGGGAAACCCUGACCCAGCAACGCCGCGUGAAGGAUGAAGUAUUUCGGUAUGUAAACUUCGAAAGAAUAGGAAGAAUAAAUGACGGUACUAUUUAUAAGGUCCGGCUAACUACGUGCCAGCAGCCGCGGUAAUAGGUAGGGACCAAGCGUUGUUCGGAUUUACUGGGCGUAAAGGGCGCGUAGGCGGCAUGACAAGUCACUUGUGAAAUCUCUGGGCUUAACCCAGAACGGCCAAGUGAUACUGUCGCGCUAGAGUGCAGAAGGGGCAAUCGGAAUUCUUGGUGUAGCGGUGAAAUGCGUAGAUAUCAAGAGGAACACCAGUGGCGAAGGCGGCUUCCUGGUCCAACACUGACGCUGAGGCGCGAAAGCGUGGGGAGCAAACAGGAUUAGAUACCCAAGUAGUCCCUGAGCGGGCUGGCAAGGCGCAU